rnacentral:rRNA from 1 species
UACGUAGGGUGCAAGCGUUGCCCGGAUUUAUUGGGCGUAAAGGGCGCGUAGGCGGCCACGCACGUCCGUUGUGAAAUCGCCCGGCUCAACUGGGCGGGGUCGGCGGAUACGGCGUGGCUGGAGCAAGCUAGGGGGCAAUGGAAUUCCCGGUGUAGUGGUGGAAUGCGUAGAUAUCGGGAGGAACACCAGUGGCGAAGGCGGCUCACUGGCCCGGUACUGACGCUGAGGUGCGAAAGCGUGGGGAGCAAACAGG